GUGCUCACUUCAGCAGCACAUAUACUAAAAUUGGAAGGAUACAGAGAAGAUUAGCAUGGUCCUUGCACGAGGAUGAUACGCAAAUUCCUGAAGUGUUCCAUAUUUUU
ensembl:snRNA U6 U6 spliceosomal RNA